rnacentral:rRNA from 1 species
AUUGAACGCUGGCGGCAGGCCUAACACAUGCAAGUCGAACGGUAACAGGAAGCAGCUUGCUGCUUCGCUGACGAGUGGCGGACGGGUGAGUAAUGUCUGGGAAGCUGCCUGAUGGAGGGGGAUAACUACUGGAAACGGUAGCUAAUACCGCAUAAUGUCGCAAGACCAAAGAGGGGGACCUUCGGGCCUCUUGCCAUCGGAUGUGCCCAGAUGGGAUUAGCUUGUUGGUGGGGUAACGGCCCACCAAGGCGACGAUCCCUAGCUGGUCUGAGAGGAUGACCAGCCACACUGGAACUGAGACACGGUCCAGACUCCUACGGGAGUCAGCAGUGGGGAAUAUUGCACAAUGGGCGCAAGCCUGAUGCAGCCAUGCCGCGUGUAUGAAGAAGGCCUUCGGGUUGUAAAGUACUUUCAGCGGGGAGGAAGGGAGUAAAGUUAAUACCUUUGCUCAUUGACGUUACCCGCAGAAGAAGCACCGGCUAACUCCGUG